AUUGUCAUGUGAUUGGAGGGAGAUAACAAACCUCAAGAAAGAAAAGGAGUCAGAAGACAUUUUUAACACGGCAUAACCACAGAUUAAUAAUGCAGGGAUUAAAAGUUUGAUCCUGCUUCCCACACCAUACUCUGGAAACUGUCCCUGAUAGAGAGCUAGCCUGAGAUCUGUGCAUGCCUUCAGACAUCAAAAUACGGUGCGUGAAACAAGGAACAGAGCACUCAGGAGUGAGCACAUACAUACCUGUGUUUGCCCAGCCACGGAAGAGACAGUCACAGGAUGGAAAGGAUAUUGGGGAGAAACAGGACAGGGUAAAAAAGGGUCCUGAGAGACCCAGGUCCUGCUCCAAGGAGACAAGCAAGCCACAAAGGUUUUCGGUGGGAAGAAAAAUGACAAAGAAAGAAACACAUCCUCAUGCACACCUAUACUGAUAUGAAGAGGAUAUGGGAACCUUUUCGUCUCAACCUCAGCUGUAGUUCCUCAAAAUUUGAAAAGAGCAGGUCCAUCAGUCUACUAUCACCUUUUUUUCCUAAUCUUUUCCCCUUUCCUUCUCCACUAUCUUCAACCACCGAGUUUAC